AUUAAGGUCCUCUGGAUUGUAAACUUCUUUUAUCUGGGACGAAAAAAGGUCUUUCUAGAUCACUUGACGGUACCAGAUGAAUAAGCACCGGCUAACUCCGUGCCAGCAGCCGCGGUAAUACGGAGGGUGCAAGCGUUAUCCGGAUUCACUGGGUUUAAAGGGUACGUAGGCGGGCAGGUAAGUCAGUGGUGAAAUCCUGGAGCUCAACUCCAGAACUGCCAUUGAUACUAUCUGUCUUGAAUAUUGUGGAGGUAAGCGGAAUAUGUCAUGUAGCGGUGAAAUGCUUAGAUAUGACAUAGAACACCCAUUGCGAA
rnacentral:rRNA from 1 species